rnacentral:lncRNA from 1 species
AAUUUUGUCCGUGAUUUACCUUAUAUAUUUUGAUCAGAUGUUUGGUAAGUAAAAUAAAGUGGAAUUUGCUCAGAAGGUAAGUAAAUUAAGGUGAUUGAUUAUUAUAUGGGGAAAGUUGGACGAAGGAGUGGUGGGAAGAAAGGUGAAACAGAAACCUUCUGUUUUUUAAAUAUUGGAGAUAUAACAUUAUUUUAAUGCUUGAUUAAUAUUUAUUAAAUGCAAUAUUAACAUUUUUAACACAUGACCAACAUUUUUUUUCUAAACACAUUUAACAUUUCUCAAAUGAUUGAUUUACAUUUUUCAAAUACUUGUUCAACAUUCUUCCAAAUGCUUGAUUAAUAUUUUUAUAUUCAUGACCAAAUUUUCCCACAUCUUUUAACACAUGGGCAAUAUUUUUUCUUUACACAUGUAACAUUUUUCAUUUGCUUGAUUGACUUAGAAAAAACGAUUCAACAUUUUUUCAAAUGUUUGAUUAACAUUUUUAGAUACAUGAUAAAAAAUUGUUAUCAUUUUUAUAAUACAUGGUCAACAUUUUUUCUAUACACAUUUAACAUUUCUGAUAGCUUGAUUAGAAUUUUUCAAACAAUAUUCAACAUUUUAAAAAUACUUUUUUAAUUUUUUUAAAUAUAUGAUCAAAUUGUUUCAGAAACAUAUUUUUGCAUACGUUUUUCGUAUACGUGAUAAAUAUUUUCUUUAUACAUUAACAGUUUUCAAAUGCUUGUUCAAUAUAUUUCAAAUGUUUUAUGUUGAUUGAUUUUUGUAAUAUAUUUAUUUAGAAUAUUUUAAAUUAUAAACAAAAGUAUAAAAAGAAGCAAAAAAGGAAACAAAAAAUACGUUGAAAAAAUGAGGCUAUGGCCUCCAGCACACUUGGGCUGGCACAUGUCGUGCUACCCUACUACGUUCAAGCGAGAUGAAGGGUCGCUCGUCGCGCAUUCCCAACUUGCCACCAAUGUGAUUCUUUACAUAUUGGCACAAUAGUUGGAUAUAUACUUGAUGCAGAAGGACACGGAAGUUUAAUAAGGCACAAUAAAAGUCAAUGCCUUAAUUAAUUUAAAAUCCCAACUAAUAUGAAUGACGUUUUCUAAAGUUUGUUAGAAAGGGAACGAUUUAUUAUGCCGUAAACCACCAUAAGUCACUAAAAAGAAUUGGGUCUAAAUAAAUAGGUUUUCUGCUCGAAGCAAUCCACGCCCAUCGUCCACGUACCUCUCAAAACCCUCAGUGCAUACCCAUGGUAGAAGAAGCAGACGACCAUGGUAGCAUCACGAAUCCCGAAUGCCGUUGCCAAGGCAAGCAAGAGCGCGCCAUGAACGCAAGAGGCCGGCAGCCCAUGGCCGCACCUCCUGCCAGAGUUGUUGUGGCUGGUGCUCCGGUCAGUAUUAUACCUAGUGCAUCAGUAUUAUAUUUUCUCAUAGAUGAACCAUAAAGAGGGAGAAGUAAUCAAAUUUGACAUAAAUUGUUUGCAAACAAAAAAGUCAUAGAGGUAGAAGUGGACUGUUGGCUCGGGCCACAAUAAAUUGUAGAAACACAAAGACUUGCAUAUUGGCCCAAUAUUGUCCAUGUAAUAGAAAAAUGAUUUCCCUAUUUCUCUCAUUGUUUUGUACUAGCGUACAGGAGUUAUUUCUCGAUUAAAGCAAGAUGUGCGAGCUUUUCCAUGCACACUACAAUAAUGGGUCGACCCAUUUUCUAUUGUUUGUUUGCUUGUUCUCUCCUUGCGUUCGUUGGCUUUGUGCGCUUCGUUUUCUCUUCUUUUUCGUUAUUCUUUUCUUUUUCGUUAUUCUUUUGUUUCUUCAGUUUUAUUUGAUUCAUACUCGGAUUUUCUUUCCUUGUUUUUUGAGCGGUUUUCUUCGUUCUUUAUUGGUGUUCACUGGUUUCUUCUUCCUUCGCUUUUUUUUUGAUUUUUUAGUACUUUUGUUUCUUUCAUAGUUUUCACUAGUUUUUUCUCUAAUAUCCAAUUCGGCUACCAAGAUCAUCUACAACCUAUGAACAUCAAAUAAAAAAAACUACAAAAAUUCGAAUAAUUCCAAAAAAAUUGUGAUGAAAGAUGCUUGAGUGCGUGAUGUCCGUGUAAAAUUUCAGCUCAUCCGGACAUCUGAGUAGGUCUCAGCCAAAAAAAAAAUUCAGGUUGAACAAUGCAAAACAGUAAACUUUCUCAUAGACCCUAAAUUUGUCAAUUUUUGCACAGACAUCACAAACUCAACGAUCUUUCACCGCAAAUUUUUUACUAUUUCUAGUGACUUUAGUGUUCACUCCCGGGCUCAUCUCAGCCCGGGACGCCCCGUCAUUUUUUCUUUUCUUUAUUUUUUCUUCGGGUUUCUUUGUGUUUUUUUGGUUUUCAUCGGUUUUCUUUGUUUCUUUCUCGGUUUCAUUGUUUUCCAUUCUUCUUCACUGGUUUUUACAAUAUGAAUGGCGGUUUCUAAAACAAUAAGUUAGGAAGGGAAAGAUUUAUACGCCAUAAACCAUCAUAAGUUACCAUAAGAAUUGGGACUAAAUAAAUAGGUUGUCGGAUCGAAACAACCCACGCCCACCAUCCACGUACCUUUGGAAACCCUCCGCGCAUUCCCGCAAAAAAAAGGGUCUAUCUAGGACACAUCUAGAUGUGACAUAGUUAUGUCACAUCUAAGUUGAUGUCCACUCUGUUUGUGAUCUAUUUCUUUUGUUUUAGCUUUUUUUGUUUCUUGUUGCUACAUUAUAUACUUGUGGGAGUUUAGAUGUGACAUCCUUAAAAAACAUUUAGAUGUGAAUUAGACAAACUGAAAAAAANNNNNNNNNNNNNNNNNNNNNNNNNNNNNNNNNNNNNNNNNNNNNNNNNNNNNNNNNNNNNNNNNNNNNNNNNNNNNNNNNNNNNNNNNNNNNNNNNNNNNNNNNNNNNNNNNNNNNNNNNNNNNNNNNNNNNNNNNNNNNNNNNNNNNNNNNNNNNNNNNNNNNNNNNNNNNNNNNNNNNNNNNNNNNNNNNNNNNNNNNNNNNNNNNNNNNNNNNNNNNNNNNNNNNNNNNNNNNNNNNNNNNNNNNNNNNNNNNNNNNNNNNNNNNNNNNNNNAGAAGCAGGCGGCCAUGCCAGCGGCGCCAAUCCUGAUAGCAGUCGCUGGGUCAAGCAGUUGCGCGCCACCACCGCAAGAGGCCGGCAGCCCAUGGCCGGACCUCCCGCCAGAGUUGCUGCGGCUGGUGGUCCUGCGCGUGCCAUCCCACGCAGACUGCGUCCGCCUCCGCGCCGUGUGCCGGCCGUGGCGCUCCGCGGCGAGCGACCUGCCCCCGCUGCUGCCAUGGCUCGCCCUCCGCGACGGCACCUUCCUCAGCCUCCCCGGUGGCGUUGUCCACCUCCUGCCCGCCAUCCCAGCCAAUGUGGCCAGGCGUGUCUCCACCGGCGGCAUGCUCUUCCUCUUGCACGACGACGGCGGCUGCUCCCUCAUGAACCCUCUCACCGGGGAGACGACCCCGCAACACGUCGACCACGACAUCCUCUGGUUUCAGGUGACAAGAUUGAAUCCCCUCUACCUCAUCCCGUACAACAUCCGCAAGAUUGUGGUUUCGGACAACAUGUUCGUCGUUUCAAGCUGCAACUACUCCCGAUUGCACAUCUUUGCCCGCGGGCCGCGGCCGCAAGUAGGCUCCAUUAAGCUGUCUCCGUUGAUUCCGGAUGACAUGGCACUCUUCAAAGGCAAGCUCUAUCUGCUCACUGGUUGUUUGACUUCACCGGAUGCGCACCGGGAGCUCCAUGUCCUGGACUUGAGGUCGGGCCUGCAGCACCAACCAUCCGUCCAAUGCUGUAUACCAGGCACCACAACAGAUUGCUUCUCGGACGGCGUCUACAAGCGCUAUUACUACUUGGUCGUGUCCGGUGACCGGCUGCUCAUGGUUGAACGGGAGAUCGAAGUGGACCGCGUCUCUAAUAAACGAAUCCGGACUCGGUGGCUCAAGGUCUUCGAGGCAAUGGACCUGGACUUGGACUGCGGCCAUGGACGUUGGAGGAAGGUUGAUAGGUUGAAGGGGCGUGCUCUUUUUCUCAGCCUAGAAUGCUCUUUCUCGCUCCCAGCUUCUGUUGAUGGCUGUGCGGUUGGAGUUGGAGCUCAGGAAGACUGCGUCUACUUUGUAAGAGAGCUUAAGCUCAGCACUCACCCUACAUGUUAUAGAAAGGCCGAGGGCGAUCAUCUCUGUUGCGGCGUGUACAAAAUCAUAGACCAGACCGUGGCGCCAUUACCGACAGAGAUGCUGGCCAAGACAGCGGUAUCACAUGCCGGUCCAUGGUCCUUGACCUGGUUCCCUUUGCCCCCAAACUGACCAGUAAUUCACUAGCAAACAUGCACGUGCAUCGCAACGGGAGAAGAAAAUGACAUUUUCAUAUUUAGCGAGAAUUGUAUGUAUUUGCAAAACACAAAAGAUCAAAGAAUAAAUUUCUAUAGAUCAAUGUAAGUUUGAAGGAGGUUAUAUACAUGUUGUUAAGACUUGAGAGGAAGAUCUGUGAGGAUCUGACGUCUUCCAUGUUGCAUCUCAGAAACUUCGAUUGGAUCCUGAGAACUCCUGUUUAGGGAAGGUUAAUUGUUGGCUUCUUCUUUUCUGCCAUUUCAUCGUGUGUUGGAGCUUUUCUUCAGUACCUGACUGCAGGGAGAAACCAAGAUAUGUGCUUGAACUAUUAAUUUAAGUCCUUUCUACCAGUGCGAUCAUCUAUGUGCUUUCCGGUUUCCUUGUGCAUUGCUGGUGAACAACUUAAUGUUAUGUUUCUUUUUCUUUUGAGACUACAUACUUUAGCUGCAGUAUCAGGUAUUUAAAAUAGUUAGUGUAUAUAGGCCACAAGUACAAGAAUUAAUCCAGCUGUUUCAUUAUAACUGUAGCACCUACUCCAAAUAGUGAUACUGAAUGAUGGAAUUACCUUCUCAAAUACUGAAUGCGUCUAGUUUUAGGUUUUUCAAUAGUUCAUUGCCCUGACUAAAAUAAGGAUUGUGACAUUGGUUAUAGUUUCGUGGCAACUUAAUUACAGGCUGCAAUUAUGAAUCCAAAAUUUAUAUUAGUGCUAGAGCACAAUCGCUGUGCACACAGUACAGGAAACAAUUGGCAUAUACACGAUACAGAAGAAAUUUGGAGUAUAUAGUAUACGGGCGCAAUCAGCAUACAGAGGUCCUGGACUUUGAAGAAAUCUGCAACAUAUCAAAGGAGAGAGAAGAGAGGGAUGUGAGAGCUCACCCACACUACUGGAAAAAUUGCCGUUACCUUGUUCUUUUGUAUUUGCCGAGUACGAGAACAUGGGAUCAUGGCAAAAGACAUCUAAGCCGAGUACGGGUCUCGGCACACACUAGGACACGACACAUGGGAAGUUCUGCUGAGCCCCGCCGGUAUACACUCGGCAAACAUAAAGGCACUCGGCUUAUGCAUGGUAUGCCGAGAGCCCUGUAGAAGGCACCCGGUAAAGAGGAGCCACGUGGCACGACUGUUUGCAGCUGACGGCCCCGUGAUGGUGGGCAGUUUUUGCCGAGAUCCCCAAUGAAAGGUACUUGGCAAUCUAUGUGGUAUUUAAACUGGCCAAACCCUAGCGGCCGCUCCCAUUCUACUCUCGAUCGUCGGCAGGCUACCGCUCGUCCCCACGUGGUUCCGUCGCCGCCUCCGGCCCUUCUCUCCACCGCCGGGCCUAUACGUUCCCACCGGCUGCCGCCGUGCUAGCCAACCGGUCGGAUCCGGUGUCAACCGAGGCCGCUCGCACCCUCCAUGGUCCUUGACCUGGUACCUUUUGCCCCCAAGCUAACCUUACAUUGUUAGUGAUAUGCAAUUCAGUCAGUAAUUAGAAUUGGGAGCAUGUAUACUCCCUCCAUCCAUAUACAUAGGGCCUAAUGUGUUUUUAAAGACUGUCAUUGACUAUUGAUAAGAUUAAUAGUCUAUGAGAUGUAUAAUUUGCCGGUAUGCUUUGUGUAACUUGCAUGCACUAGUAGAAAAGGGGGCUUUUGUCCCGGUUGGUAAGGGCCUUUAGUCCCGGUUUUUGAACCAGGACUAAAGGGUCGUUACUAAUGCCUCCCCCCUUUAGUCCCGGUUCUUACACGAACCGGGACUAAAGGCCGCGGCCACAUGGAGCUUACCAACCGGGACUAAAGGAAAUUUUAUGCUUUUUUUUUUGAAAUUUUUGUUUGCGAAUUUUUUAACUUUUUUUUAUUUUCAAAUUUCUGAAUUAUUUUAACCUCUAAUCUCUAAUCACCACCCCUCAUCACUGCUCAAUUUAUCCUCUAAUCUCUAAUCACCCCUCAUCAUUCCAAAUCAUCUAACUUCCCGGACGGUCACCCAUCCUCUCACUACUCCAGCCUGAGCACGCUUAACUUCCGGGUUCUAUUCUCCCUCGUUUCCAAGUCUGCACUUGUUGUUUUCCUGACAAUAGUAAGAUGUCAAUUCUAUUAACCCUCAGGAAUUUAGCUUGAGCAUGAAGUGACACAUUUCACUGUUUGAGUUUGAAACUAUUGUUUUAAAAAACAAUAAUUAUUUAGUAACACUAAUAUUUCUGAAUAAUUAGUUUGACCAUUGUUUGACCACUGUUUGACCACAGUUUGACCAGAUUUGACCAAAAUUCAAAAAAACUGAAAUAAUUAUUUAAUAACACUAAUAUUCUAGAAUAAUUAGUUUGACCAUUGUUUAACCACAGUUUGACCACAAUUUGAAUUUUUUGCCUCUCCAGAUCUUAAAAGCUCCGUAACUUUUUUCUAUUAGGUUUUUGCCUGUGGGGCCUACUGGGCCUUCUGCGGGCCUGAAUCCUGGCCCAUGGAUGGGUUUCAAGUCAUAUUCAGGCCGUGGUGGCCCAGUAGGUGGCAUAAUUUUUUUCCCUGUUUUUUGUUUUCUCUUCUGCUUUAUUUAUUUUGUUUUGUUUCUACUUACAACAAAAAACUUAUUUAUUUUAUUCCAUUUUGUUUCUAAUUACUUAUGUAUUUUACUUUAUUUAUUUUAUUUAUAUUUAUUUUACUGCUGCUAUUUUUAUUUAUUUUACUGCAGCUAUUUUUAUUUAUUUUAUUAAGGUUUAUUUAUUUUAUUUACUAUAGUUUAUUUUAUUUUAUUUUAUUAAGGUUUAUUUAUUUUAUUAAGGUUUAUUUAUUUUAUUUACUAUAAAAAAAUGAACAUAGAUGCGCCUAUAGAGAAAAUUCACCCUAAAUUCAUAAUAAAUUUCUAUGAAAUUCAAAGAAAUUUACUCUGAAUUUAGGUCAAAUUCCCUGUAUAAGGGCAUCUAUUUUCACUUUGAGAGGAGCUCAACAAGGCAGAGAGGGACGGGCUUAUAAACCGGUGUGAGCGCCCUUCGGUUGGCGAGGUGGGACUAAACUCUAACCGCAACUAGGACCAACCCUUUAGUCCCGGUUUGUGGUAUGAACCGGGACUAAAGGGUGAGCCUCUGGUCCCGGUUCAAGCCACCAACCGGGACCAAUGGUGGUGGGCCAGGAGCGAGGCCCAUUGGUCCCGGUUUGUCCCACCAACCGGGACCAAAGGGGCCGGACGAAUCGGGACCAAUGCCCCCGCGAGGCCCGGCAGGCCCCUGGCCGCACGAACCAGGACCAAUGCUCACAUUAGUCCCGGUUCGUGACUGAACCGGGACUAAUGUGAAUAUUGCCCAGUGACCAAAGCCCAGUUUUCUACUAGUGAAUUAAGAUUUAACCUUCUCCAUCGUUGUUGUGCUUCAGUUGACAUUUACUCCAUUUUAACAAAAAACAUGUUUUCAUAUGAAUAUUAACUAAGAUACAUUGGAUCGAAUAAGCUUGAGACAAACACGAACAAUGAAGAGCGCUGGCAAAAUAUCUCUCUCCUAUUUUGAAUUUUUAUACCUAGUCCAUCAAUAUUAUAUUUUCCUUAUGAACAAUAAAGAGGUAGAAGUGAUCAAAUUUGACAUAAAUUGCUCAGAAGCGCAAAAGUCAUAGAGGUAGAAGUCGAAUGUUGGCUCGGGCCACAAUAAAUUGCAGAAACACAAGGACUUGCAUAUUGGCCCAAUACUAUCCAUUUAAUAGACAAAUGAUUUCCAUAUUUCUCUCGUUGUAGCUACAAGCCCGAGGGAGCUAUUUCUCGCUUAUAGCAAGAUGUAUGAGCUUUUCCAUGCGCGCUACAUUAAUGAGUCGACCCGUUUUCUAUCAUUUGUUCAUUGGCUUUGUUCCCUUCGGUUUUAUGCCUUUUCGUUAUUCUUUUGUUUCUUCAGUUUUAUUUCAUUGAUACUCGGUUUUAUCGGUUUCCUCUGAUUUUCUUAGUUUUUUGACCGGUUUUCUUUGUUCCUUUGUCAGUGUUCACUAGUUUUCUUCUUUUCUUUCUUUUGGUUUUUUUGUUUCUUUCUUGGUUUUCACUGGUUCUUUCUUUUAUUUCAUGUUUUCUUUAUUUUUUCUUCAGGUUUCUUUGUCUGUUUUGGAUUUCAUCGGUUUUCUUUGUUUCCUCCUCGGUUUCACUGAUUUCCAUUCUUUUGCACUAUUUUUUAUUAGGUUUCCUUUGUUUCCUUUUGGCUUUCAUUCACUUUGUUUGUUUUCUCUGCUUUCUUUUUUUUGGUUCAAUCAUUUUGUUCUCAUGUCAUAUGGAGCAGGAACCUUUCUUGAUACACAAUUCACAGUUAUUCAAAUAAAUGUUUUUUUGUACACAUUGAACAUUUUUUCAAAUACAUGAUUAACAUGGUUUUUCAAGAUAAAUGUUUGAUUUCAACUUUGUUCAUACACAUUCUACGUUUUCCGCAUACAUCUGAAACAUUUAACAUUUUCAAAUACAUAAUUAACAUAUUUUGAAAAUUAUAUUUUAUCUACUUUUGCCUACACAUUCAACAUUUCUAUAUACAUCAAGAACAUCUUUUGUACACAUAACGUUUUCCAAAUACAUUAACAUUUGUUCAAUGCAUGAUUAACACUUUUUUCAUAUAUAUGUUUUGAUGUCUAUUUUUGCCCAUACACACAGUACAUUUUUUAUUAACAUUAGGCACAUUUUUAUUAACUUUUAACAUUUGAAAUACAUGAUUACUUUUUCUUCAUUUUUUAAUGUCUAUUUUUUCAUACACAUUAUAAAAUUUUCAUAUACAUUAGAAAAAUGUUACUAUAAACAUUUAAGAUUUUCCAAAUGCAUGAUUAAUAUUUUGACUUAUAUAAAAUGAUUUUAUAAUAUAUUUAUAAUACUUCUGAAUUUAAGAAAAAGUAAAAACAUCAAGAAAAAAAAUGUAAAAACAAACAAAAAAGAGAAGAAGGCUGAAGCCCUGUGGUACCUGUUGGACUGGUCCAUUCUGGCAGCUUCGUCGCGUGAUUUCGCUACGUCACGCUGUCAGGGACACAUAGGGGUUCUACGCAAGAGCUAUAUCUUGCCUUAAGCGAUAUGGAAGGAGCUCUCGCUAAAGGUUGUGAUUAUACGGGAUGGUUCUAUUAGCCUAGGUUCGAUCGAUUCACUCCCUACGACUCACUGUACGUUUCCUAGCUCUAGGUUUUCUGCGGAUUUUUUCUUUUUCUUGUUUUUUUGGUUCCUUCUGUUUUUAUCUGUUUUCUUUGGUGUGUCUUUUUUCUUUGUUAUAACUUCAGUUUUUCACCGCUUUUAUUUGCUUCUUUCUCUGCUUUCAUAGACUUUUUUCUUCCUUUUUUUCUAUGGUUUUCUUUGUUUCUUUCCUGGGUUUUUUUAUAUCUACGUUUCUUCUUUGGUUUAAUUUUUUAUUUCCCGGUUUUCACUGGGUUUUUUCUUUUCCUUAUUUUUCUUCCAUUUUAUUUGGUUUCUUUGAUUGUUUUGGUUUUUUUAUAGUUUUCUCAUGUUUUCUUUGGUUUUUUAUCAUUAUCCAUUUUUUUUGUUCUUCUUUCAUUUUUAUUUUGUUUCUUUUUGUUUGUUUCAUGGUAUUUAUCCUUUUUAUUUUUUUCUCAUUUUCCUUCUAUUUUAUUUCUUAGGUUUCAAAGUUUUUUGUUUCACUUUGUUUCUUUAUUGGUUUUCAAUAUUUCCUCAUUUUUUCUUCGCUUUUGACAUUUGUUUCUUUUUUUAUUUUUAUUUCUUUGCUUUUCUUUGUUUACUAUGGUUUUUGUUGUACAUAUUUUGUAUAUGUCAACAAUAUUUUUCUAAUGCAUGUGCAACAAUUUUCCAGUACAAGUUUAACAUUUUUCUAGUACAAGUUUAACAUUUUUGUAGUCCCUGGUCAACAAUUUUUCUAUACACAUUUUUAAUAUUUUUCAAAUGAUGGAUUAAUAUUUUUCAAACCCAACAUUAAUGUUUUUUAAAUAUAUGGUCAAUAUUUUUCCUAUGCACACUUUAAAAAAAAAUCAAAUGCUUGAUUAACAAUUUUCAAAUACAAGAUUAACAUUAUCUAAUACAUGGCCAACUUUUUUGAAUUACACUAGAACAAUGCCCAUGCGUUGCAAUGGAUAUAAAUAUUGUAGUACGUUCGCUCAUAAUAGGCGAUUAAGUAAAUAAAUGUCCAUCAAAUUUUGUCCAUGAUAUACCUUAUAUUCUGAUCAGAAUUGAUUUCUCUGCCCAUAAUAUGUGAUUGUGUAAAUAAAUGUUAGCAAAUUCUGCCCUUGAUUUACCUAUAUUUUGAUCAGAAGUGAUUUACCUGCCCAUAGUAUGUGAUUGUGUAAUAAUUUUUUAUGAAAUUUUGUCCGUGAUUUACCUUAUAUAUUUUGAUCAGAUGGUUGGUAAGUAAAAUAAAGUGGAAUUUGCUCAGAAGGUAAGUAAAUUAAGGCGAUUGAUUAUUAUAUGGGGAAAGUUGGACGAACGGGUGGUGGGAAGAAAGGUGAAACAGAAACCUUGUGUUUUUUAAAUAUUGGAGAUAUAACAUUAUUUUAAUGCUUGAUUAAUAUUUAUUAAAUGCAAUAUUAACAUUUUU